GCCAAACAUUAACAUUAGGCUGUUUGGUAUAUAGAACACUUUAACAAGGUGACCUCAGACACGUUUUGAAGAAAUCUUUGUGUGGAUUUUUUUCCAUCCUGAUGAUCAGAAGAGUGUUUGAGGGUGUCAGAGAUCCUUCAGAACAACAGAGAUACCAAAGGAUUUUCUGAAAAUCAGCGUGUCGGAUCAGCAGACCUGGACAACAUGGAAAUGAUUGCUGUUACUGCGUCGGCUUUGCUGUUUGUCGGUGUCUUCAUGUUUGUCUCUGUGGAGCAGAAAACUAUCACAGCUGAGUCUGGACAGAACAUCACUCUGACAUGUCGAGCUCCGAAUGACAACAUCAUAGUUACAGAGUGGAGCAGAGCUGAUCUGGAGAUGAAUAUGUCCUCUUGUACCGAGAUGAACAGUUUGAUCCAGAUGAACAGCAUCCAUCUUUUAAGAACCAGGUGGAUCUGCAGGACAGACAGAUGAAGGAUAGAGACGUGUCUUUGAUUCUGAAGAAUGUGACGAUUAAUGACACUGGAACAUACGAGUGUUGUGUCAUCAAUGGAAGACCAAACCGCGGACGGGUUGCCCUUUUGAAGAACGAACCCAUUUGCA